rnacentral:rRNA from 1 species
GACGAACGCUGGCGGCGUGCUUAACACAUGCAAGUCGAACGGAAAGGCCCUGCUCUUGUGGGGUGCUCGAGUGGCGAACGGGUGAGUAACACGUGAGUAACCUGCCCUUGACUUUGGGAUAACUUCAGGAAACUGGGGCUAAUACCGGAUAGGAGCUCCUGCUGCACGGGGGGGGAUGGAAAGUUUCGGCUGUUGGGGAUGGUCUGGCGGCUUAUCAGCUUGUUGGUGGGGUAGUGGCUUACCAAGGCUUUGACGGGUAGCCGGCCUGAGAGGGUGACCGGCCACAUUGGGACUGAGAUACGGCCCAGACUCCUACGGGCGGCAGCAGUGGGGAAUAUUGCACAAUGGGCGGAAGCCUGAUGCAGCAACGCCGCGUGCGGGAUGACGGCCUUCGAGUUGUAAACCGCUUUCGCCUGUGACGAAGCGGGAGUGACGGUAAUGGAUAAAGAAGCACCGGCUAACUACGUG